rnacentral:rRNA from 1 species
UACGGAGGGAGCUAGCGUUGUUCGGAAUUACUGGGCGUAAAGCGCACGUAGGCGGACUCUUAAGUCGGUGGUGAAAUCCUGGAGCUCAACUCCAGAACUGCCUUCGAUACUGGGAGUCUCGAGUUCGGGAGAGGUGAGUGGAACUGCGAGUGUAGAGGUGAAAUUCGUAGAUAUUCGCAAGAACACCAGUGGCGAAGGCGGCUCACUGGCCCGAUACUGACGCUGAGGUGCGAAAGCGUGGGGAUCAAACAGG